ensembl:lncRNA
GGAAUUGGGCGCCCAUGGCUAACCUCCAACCUGAGCGUUGGAAGGGGUCUGCGUGCUCGCCGCCUGGGUGGAAUUUUAGCCUCCCUCACCGCCAGCAGCCCUCGCGGCCCGAGUCGCACCUGCUCUGUCGUCUGGUUCACAAGCAACAGGCUCUGAGGCCGGGGUCCCAGGGCGCUGAUGGCUCCUCCUCCCUACGGUGCUCCAGGCCGGCCUGCCAGUGGCCCGGUGCCUCUCGCUAAUGCGCGUUCUGCAGCCUGACAAAGCUCUGGACUUGGCAUAAAAUCCAACUAUUGGGCCAGGUCCAAGAUGUUGUAUAAAGGCGACUUCCCCUGUCUCAGUGAACACAAAUCUGAAAAAAAAUUGAAAAGAGUACAUCAUGUGAAAUGCCAGGCUGGAUGAAGCUUAAUCUGGAAUCAAGAUUGCUGGGAGAAAUAUUAACAACCUCAGAUAUACAGAUGAUACCACUCUAAUGGCAGAAAGCGAAGAGAAACUAAAGAGCCUCUUCAUAAGGGUGAAAGAGGAGGGUGAAAAAGCUGGCUUAAAACUCAGCAUCAAAAAUCUAAGAUCAUUGCAUCCAGUCCCAUCACUUUAUGGCACAUAGAAGGAGGAAAAGUGGAAAUGGUGACAGAUUUUGUUUUCUUAGGUUCCAGAAUCACUGUGGUUGGUGACUGAAGCCAUAAAAUUAAAAGAAGCUUGUUCCCUGGAAUGAAAGAUUUGACAAACCUAGACAGUGUGUU